rnacentral:rRNA from 1 species
CCUACGGGAGGCAGCAGUGAGGAAUAUUGGUCAAUGGGCGGGAGCCUGAACCAGCCAAGCCGCGUGAGGGAAGAAGGUACAGCGUAUCGUAAACCUCUUUUGUCAGGGAACAAAGGCGGGGACUAGUCCCCGGAUGAGGGUACCUGAAGAAAAAGCAUCGGCUAACUCCGUGCCAGCAGCCGCGGUAAUACGGAGGAUGCGAGCGUUAUCCGGAUUUAUUGGGUGUAAAGGGUGCGCAGGCGGCCUGUUAAGUCAGCGGUAAAAGCCCGGGGCUCAACCCCGGCGAGCCGUUGAAACUGGCGGGCUGGAGUUGGAGAGAAGUACGCGGAAUGCGCGGUGUAGCGGUGAAAUGCUUAGAUAUCGCGCAGAACCCCGAUUGCGAAGGCAGCAUACCGGCUCCACACUGACGCUGAGGCACGAAAGCGUGGGUAUCGAACAGGAUUAGAUACCCUUGUAGUC